GAUAAACGCUGGCGGCGUGCCUAAUACAUGCAAGUCGAGCGAACGGACGAGAAGCUUGCUUCUCUGAUGUUAGCGGCGGACGGGUGAGUAACACGUGGAUAACCUACCUAUAAGACUGGGAUAACUUCGGGAAACCGGAGCUAAUACCGGAUAAUAUUUUGAACCGCAUGGUUCAAAAGUGAAAGACGGUCUUGCUGUCACUUAUAGAUGGAUCCGCGCUGCAUUAGCUAGUUGGUAAGGUAACGGCUUACCAAGGCAACGAUGCAUAGCCGACCUGAGAGGGUGAUCGGCCACACUGGAACUGAGACACGGUCCAGACUCCUACGGGAGGCAGCAGUAGGGAAUCUUCCGCAAUGGGCGAAAGCCUGACGGAGCAACGCCGCGUGAGUGAUGAAGGUCUUCGGAUCGUAAAACUCUGUUAUUAGGGAAGAACAUAUGUGUAAGUAACUGUGCACAUCUUGACGGUACCUAAUCAGAAAGCCACGGCUAACUACGUGCCAGCAGCCGCGGUAAUACGUAGGUGGCAAGCGUUAUCCGGAAUUAUUGGGCGUAAAGCGCGCGUAGGCGGUUUUUUAAGUCUGAUGUGAAAGCCCACGGCUCAACCGUGGAGGGUCAUUGGAAACUGGAAAACUUGAGUGCAGAAGAGGAAGGUGGAAUUCCAUGUGUAGCGGUGAAAUGCGCAGAGAUAUGGAGGAACACCAGUGGCGAAGGCGACUUUCUGGUCUGUAACUGACGCUGAUGUGCGAAAGCGUGGGGAUCAAACAGGAUUAGAUACCCUGGUAGUCCACGCCGUAAACGAUGAGUGCUAAGUGUUAGGGGGUUUCCGCCCCUUAGUGCUGCAGCUAACGCAUUAAGCACUCCGCCUGGGGAGUACGACCGCAAGGUUGAAACUCAAAGGAAUUGACGGGGACCCGCACAAGCGGUGGAGCAUGUGGUUUAAUUCGAAGCAACGCGAAGAACCUUACCAAAUCUUGACAUCCUUUGACAACUCUAGAGAUAGAGCCUUCCCCUUCGGGGGACAAAGUGACAGGUGGUGCAUGGUUGUCGUCAGCUCGUGUCGUGAGAUGUUGGGUUAAGUCCCGCAACGAGCGCAACCCUUAAGCUUAGUUGCCAUCAUUAAGUUGGGCACUCUAAGUUGACUGCCGGUGACAAACCGGAGGAAGGUGGGGAUGACGUCAAAUCAUCAUGCCCCUUAUGAUUUGGGCUACACACGUGCUACAAUGGACAAUACAAAGGGCAGCGAAACCGCGAGGUCAAGCAAAUCCCAUAAAGUUGUUCUCAGUUCGGAUUGUAGUCUGCAACUCGACUACAUGAAGCUGGAAUCGCUAGUAAUCGUAGAUCAGCAUGCUACGGUGAAUACGUUCCCGGGUCU
rnacentral:rRNA from 1 species